GAUGAAGAACGUAGCGAAAUGCGAUAAGUAGUGUGAAUUGCAGAAUUCAGUGAAUCAUCGAAUCUUUGAACGCACAUUGCGCCCUUUGGUAUUCCUUAGGGCAUGCCUGUUCGAGCGUCAUUUAAACCUUCAAGCUAAGCUUGGUGUUGGGUGACUGUCCGCUUCACGGCGGACUCGCCUCAAAAUUAUUGGCGGCCGGUACAUUGGCUUCGAGCGCAGCAGAAACGCGAACUCGGGCCCGUCGUAUUGGCUCCCAGAAGCUAUCUUCACAAUUUUGACCUCGGAUCAGGUAGGGAUACCCGCUGAACUUAAGCAUAUCAAUAAGGGAGGA
rnacentral:misc_RNA from 1 species